AUUCUCCACUCCAUUGCAAACCCGAACAGUACUGUCGCGAUUUGAAUAUCGUGCUGCUUUUCAAAUUCAAGUGGAAGGGCAGCUACUCUUCGGAUCGUGGUCGCUUUUACACUGCCUGUUAGUGUACCAUGGCUUCUAAGCCCCAUCCUCCUUUGAUGAAGAAACACAGUCAGUCAGACCUGGUGAGCCGGCUGAAGACCAGGAAGAUACUUGGGGUUGGAGGAGAGGAUGACGAUGGAGAGGUGCAUAGGUCAAAGGACAAUGACCCAACACACCUCCAGGUUGUGUAAUGGCUAUUUGACCAAGAA